rnacentral:rRNA from 1 species
AUUGAACGCUGGCGGCAUGCUUUACACAUGCAAGUCGAACGGGCUGGGGGCAACUCCAGUCAGUGGCGAACGGGUGAGUAAUACAUCGGAACGUACCUCGUAGUGGGGGAUAACUCGGCGAAAGCCGUGCUAAUACCGCAUAUGCUCUACGGAGGAAAGCAGGGGACCGUAACAGGCCUUGUGCUAUGGGAGCGGCCGAUGUCCGAUUAGCUAGUUGGUGAGGUAANGGCUCACCAAGGCGACGAUCGGUAGCUGGUCUGAGAGGAUGAUCAGCCACACU